rnacentral:miRNA from 1 species
GCGGGGCUGGGCGCGCG